rnacentral:ncRNA from 1 species
UUGCAGGUGUGAGUCCUGCCGCAAUAGUUGGUUAGUUUGACUGCGUAGCGAUGGCGUACAUGUGGAGGGCGACCGAAACAUGGGAGCAACGCCGGAUACCUGUAUCAGUCAGCCGAA